rnacentral:SRP_RNA from 1 species
GCCUGUAGUCCCAGCUACUCAGGAGGCUGAGGUGGAAAGAUUGCUUGAGCCCAGAAGUCUGGGCUGUAGUGCACUAUGCCAAUCAAAUGUCCACACUAAGUACCGCACAUCAAUAUGGUGACCUCCCAGGAGCAAGGGACCACCAGGUUGCCUAAGGAGGGGUGAACCGGCGCAGGUCAGAAACAGAGCAGGUCAAAACUGCUGUGCUGAUCAGUAGUGGGAUCACACUCGUGAAUAGCUACUGCACUCCAGCCUGGGCAACAUAGCCAGACCCUGUCUCU